rnacentral:rRNA from 1 species
GAUGAACGCUGGCGGCGUGCCUAAUACAUGCAAGUCGAGCGAACAGACGAGGAGCUUGCUCCUCUGACGUUAGCGGCGGACGGGUGAGUAACACGUGGAUAACCUACCUAUAAGACUGGGAUAACUUCGGGAAACCGGAGCUAAUACCGGAUAAUAUAUUGAACCGCAUGGUUCAAUAGUGAAAGACGGUUUUGCUGUCACUUAUAGAUGGAUCCGCGCCGCAUUAGCUAGUUGGUAAGGUAACGGCUUACCAAGGCAACGAUGCGUAGCCGACCUGAGAGGGGCGGGGGCCACAAUGAGGCAUACAUACAGCGCGGACUCCUGCGGGGAGCCGCAGUAGGGAAGUUUGUGCAAUUGGGGCAACACUGACAGAGCGACGCAGCGAGAGUGAAGAAGGUUUUUGGAUAGUAAAGCUCUGUUGUAAGUCAAGAACGAGUGUGAGAAGGGAAAAUUCACACUGAGACGGGAGCUUACCAGAAAGGGACGGCUAACUACGUG